rnacentral:pre_miRNA from 16 species
AAAACACACCACGUUCGAUAGGUGUUCCAGAGUUGAUAAUAAUCGUGCCAUGUGCACAUUUAUUAUUGCUUGAGAAUACCCCUCGGCAGAUUGUGUUCU